rnacentral:rRNA from 1 species
GACGAACGCUGGCGGCGUGCUUAACACAUGCAAGUCGAACGGAAAGGCCCUGCUUUUGUGGGGUGCUCGAGUGGCGAACGGGUGAGUAACACGUGAGUAACCUGCCCUUGACUUUGGGAUAACUUCAGGAAACUGGGGCUAAUACCGGAUAGGAGCUCCUGCUGCAUGGUGGGGGUUGGAAAGUUUCGGCGGUUGGGGAUGGACUCGCGGCUUAUCAGCUUGUUGGUGGGGUAGUGGCUUACCAAGGCUUUGACGGGUAGCCGGCCUGAGAGGGUGACCGGCCACAUUGGGCCUGAGGUACGGCCCAGACUCCUACGGGAGGCAGCAGUGGGGAAUAUUGCACAAUGGGCGGAAGCCUGAUGCAGAAACGCCGCGUGCGGGAUGACGGCCUUCGGGUUGUAAACCGCUUUCGCCUGUGACGAAGCGUGAGUGACGGUAAUGGGUAAAGAAGCACCGGCUAACUACGUG